rnacentral:rRNA from 1 species
UACGGGGGGGGGCAAGCGUUGUUCGGAAUUACUGGGCGUAAAGGGCUCGUAGGCGGCCAACUAAGUCAGACGUGAAAUCCCUCGGCUUAACCGGGGAACUGCGUCUGAUACUGGUUGGCUUGAAUCCGGGAGAGGGAUGUGGAAUUCCAGGUGUAGCGGUGAAAUGCGUAGAUAUCUGGAGGAACACCGGUGGCGAAGGCGACUACCUGGCCUGUUCUUGACGCUGAGGCGCGAAAGCUAGGGAGCAAACGGG